AUGACCACCCCUAUCUUGCUGCUGCUCCUCAUUGCCCUAUUGAGCAGCGUGGUCGCGGCCCGUGAGUUGGCGGGCGGCGAGGAGGCGGCGAUGCAGGCGCGCCACGAGGAGUGGAUGGCCAAGUACGGGCGCAAGUACAAGGACGACGCAGAGAAGGCGCUGCGCUUCCAGGUGUUCAAGGCCGACUCCGAGCUUGUGGCCAGAUCCAACGCCGACGGCACCAAGAAGUAACACCUGGCCAUCAACAAGUUCGCCGACCUGACCAGCGAGGAGUUCGCCGCCACACCGGGUUCAAGCCCACCACCCGGACCCAAGAUGCUGCCGGGAUUCAAGUACGAGAACGUCAGCCUCUCCGCCUCCAACGAGCAGGGCGUUGACUGGAGGACCACAGGCGCAGUUAUCGGUGUAAAGUACCAAGGACGGUGUGGAUGCUGCUGGGCCUUCUCUGCGGUGGCUGCCGUGGAGGGCAUCCACCAGAUCACCACCGGCCAGCUGGUCUCCCUCUCGGAGCAGCAGCUGCUCGACUGCACCACCGAGAACCACGGGUGCGGCGGCGGCUUCAUGACCUCUGCCUUCGAGUACAUAAUGAACAACGGAGGCAUCACCACCGAGGACGCCUACCCAUACGUCACGGCCCAAGGCAGGUGCCACUCCGAUGCCACGCAGCCGGCCGACACCAUCCGCGGCUACCAGAUCGUGCCCGCCAACAACGACGACGCGCUUGCCGCGGCCGUCGCUAACCAGCCGUCCGUUGGCAUCGAUGGGAAGCAGCGGAGCUUCCAGAUGUACAGUGGCGGCAUCCUGACCGGCGACGCCUGCGGCACUGAAAUGAACAACGUGGUCACCCUGGUGGGCUACGGUGUCGAGCAGGAUGGGACAAGCUACUGGCUCAUCAACAACUCAUGGGGCCAAAACUGGGGAGAAUGAGGUUACAUGAAGGUCCAGAGAGGCACCGGCGCCUGCGGCGUUGACAUGCUGGCAUCUUACCCUGUCGCAUGA
rnacentral:rRNA from 1 species